AGAUUCUGAAAUCUGGGUACAGAAUGCUCAAGAUGUUGCUGGGUGUGACGUUACUGACCCUCGUCGCGAUUGCGACCGCAGACUCCGGGACCAAGGAUCCCCAUUACUGGGACAACCACGAUGUCAUGGUGCAUCUCUUCGAGUGGAAAUGGAGCGACAUUGCAGAUGAAUGUGAAAAUUUCCUUGCCCCGCAAGGAUACGGAGGUGUCCAGGUCUCACCUCCGAAUGAAAAUCUGAUAAUUUCCGACAGGCCAUGGUACGAACGCUACCAGCCAGUUUCUUACAUACUGACGACUAGAUCUGGCACUGAGGAUGAAUUCAAGGAUAUGGUAGAACGUUGCAACACUGUUGGCGUCAGAAUUUACGUGGAUGCAGUCUUCAACCAGAUGUCCGCAUUGGCAGACGAUGGCUCUUAUGGUACUGCUGGAUCUCAGGCUUACUACUCGAUAAGGUCAUGGCCCGGAGUCCCCUACACUUCGGACGACUUUCACUCGUCCUGCUCCAUCACGGACUACACAGAUGCUACUAACGUCCGAGACUGCUGGCUGGAUGGUCUAGCGGAUCUUGACCAAUCGACUGAAGAUGUCCGCGAAAAGGUCGCGGCAUACUUAAACGGACUCAUCGAGAUGGGCGUAGCUGGAUUCCGUAUCGACGCAGCUAAGCACAUGUGGCCCGAAGACUUGGAGAACAUUUACGACCGCCUGGAGACUCUUGAUAUCUACCAGGGCUUUGCCUCAAGUCUUAGCCCGUUCCUCUACCAGGAGGUCAUUGAAUCCAGCGGCGAAGCAAUUACCGCAUCGGAGUACACAGACCUUGGAAGAGUCACCGAAUUCGCUCAUGGUUCGCAGCUGAGUAACUGUUUCAUGGGAAACAACGACCUCAGGUGGUUGAUCAACUGGGGUGAAGACUGGGGUCUUACGUCAUCCGACGAUGCCCUAGUGUUCAUCGACAACCAUGACACCCAGCGCAGUGACAGCUCAAUCCUCACGUACAAGGAUGCGAAGGCGUACAAGAUGGCGGUCGCGUUCAUGUUGGCUCAUCCCUAUGGUACUGUGCCCCGAGUAAUGAGCUCCUUCUCGUUCACCGACAGUGACGCUGGUCCACCCGCAGACACCGAUGGCAGCAUCCUCUCUCCCAUAUUCUAUUCCGACAACAGCUGCGGAAACGGAUGGGUCUGCGAGCAUCGUUGGCGACAGAUCUACAACAUGGUUGCAUUCCGUAAUGCUGUAAAGGGGACCGAACUCUACGAGUGGUGGGAUAAUGAAAGCAAUCAAAUUUCCUUCUGCCGCGGUAGCGCCGGAUUCGUCGCAUUCAAUCUGGACACCUGGGACCUCCAACAGACCCUUCAGACCUGCCUUUCCGCUGGUACCUACUGUGACGUCAUAUCCGGCAGCUUGGUGGACGGUAGCUGUACAGGAAAGUCCGUAACCGUAGGCAGCGACGGUACCGCUUAUAUCGAGCUAUUGACCACUGAGGAAGACGGUGUACUUGCUCUUCAUGUUAACGCCAAGCUGUAGUGGCGUUAAUUUCACUCUGAUUAUCUCCAAUAAUGGCACAACUGUUUAAAAUUGAAGACUUAGCAAGCAGAGUGAUUGACGCUUUCCAAUUCGCAUCAGGUUCAAAAGUUGUACAUGUAUACACUGGAUCUUUCUACAAAAUAAUUAUCAGCAUUCACGACCUACCUGUCGUUUUUUUCUGUCACAAAAAAUCCAAACAAAUAAUAAGAAACCAUAUAUAUAUAUAUAUAUAUAUAUAUAUAUAUAUAUAUAGACUAGUAGCUAUAUCGAGGAACUAUAUUACUCAAUAUCUAUAAGGAUAUCUACGAACAACAUCGAAACGUUUGUUAGACGUCUAGCAUAUCAAAAAAUGAUGACAUAUAAAUAUUAUACCGAAAAAAUAUAACUGUAGCUAGUUAUCACUAUAAUAUGUCUAUAAUUUACGAAUUACACCAAAAUACUUCAAUUGGAGAUAUUUAUUCUCAAAUUGCUGUAGGUAUAUCUCGAAUUACGCCGCAAAUUAUUGUUUAUCGUUUCCAAAGUCUUUGACAAUUAAUUGAUCAUAAUGAACAAUGAUAGAAUUCUUUUUUAUUUCGAGUUAAUAAUUAUUUCUCUUAAAUCUGCGUAGCGUUCCCCUGUCAAAACGAAGUAGAGGUUCAAGUAUUAAGACAUUAAAGUAUUAUUACAGACUUUUACAGCCGUAAGUAAUGUGAAAAAAUUUUCAUUGCAAAUAAUCCAAUCAAUUUUUCACUGCGAGAAAAAUGUGUUUGUAGUCAUUUAACCCCGGGGUGGAUUACCGUAGUACAAAUACCUUUGAAUAUCAGAGUCUUGAGUAGUCUGAACUGAAUCUAUAACAUGUAAAUUGUGGAUAUUAUGUAAUAAUAAUCCAGGUAUAUAUAUAGCGAAAAAGAUUUGCAACGAAUACGUUCAAAUUAUAUUCUCUUUGGCACGAGUAUAUUAAUUAGAUCGCAUUUUUUGCCAAGAUUUGAUUUGCACGCCGUUGCGAAAUGUUCCGAGAUGUUUUAGUAUGCAAAAUCGGGGUGAGUCAGGAAUAAGGUAGUGGCACACGUCAUGUCGAACUGACGUAGUAGCACCGAUCAAUUCCUAGUACCCUGCCACGCAACUAUGUCGCAUUAUUAACAAUUAAUGGCACAUAUAACGAGAUCGUUUGUGUAGAGACUAUUAGAAACAUCGCAGCUCAAGUCGUCAAUUGAGAUAAGAUAUGCAUACGCAAUGCUAAUACAUAGGAAUUACGUAUACUAAAGUUUCUUCGAGAAUAAUAUUAUUGUCUACUUAAUUACAGGUCAAAUAUAAAACUUUUCCCUUUAUUCAUCCACGAAAAAUUGUCUUCGAUUAAUUGAAUGGGAAUUUAAUACAGUGAAACACGAAACAACAUAUACGUCGAUUUUAUUAAUUAUCUAAAAAUAAACACGAGAAAGGUAAUGUGAAGAAAAAAAAAAACUAUGAAUAACACAAUAAGAAAUAUUAAAUAACAGCAAAUUUAAGAUAGCAUGAAAUCACCGUGUGUAUUACCCCUGAAUUUCACCAAUUUUAUAAAUUACCGUUAUCCUUAUUGUACUAUACAAUCAAUUAGUAAGAAUCAAAUUUCACUUCCUGAUAUGGCUCGUCACAAACCACGAGGCACAGCGCCAGUCUGCAAGCAGGUUUUAGAACGCUCGAACAAUCAACGAACAACUACCCAAACAACAGGUAUUUGAUAAGAUCGAUUAUAAAAAGAAGUUAUAAACGUAUUCAAUUGCGGGCGAGCCACGUCAGGAGUGUAAAAUUUUAUCCAUAGUUACAGCAAGUUAUAUAUAUGUAUAGUAAAUAUAAGUAUAUAUGUAUAGUAUGUUCUCUUGUAUGAAAUAACAUAAGUGUAUUUAUUUAUAUUUAUAUACACACAAGGUGUCACAGUUUGUGAACUCACAAUUUUUCAAUACUCUUUAGCAUGAAGCCGAAUGAGAUCCAUUAUUUUACAUAUAAAGUUAUGGACUCUCUAUGGGAAAUUUUGUAACCACAACAAGUUUUAGAAUAUUUUCAGUGAAAGUUGUUGAAAUGU
rnacentral:misc_RNA from 1 species